rnacentral:ncRNA from 1 species
UUCUUCGGGGCAGGGUGUAAUUCCCUACCGGCGGUUACAGUCCGCGAGCCAUAUUAAUUGGUUGAAUUGGUGCAAUUCCAAUACCGACAGUAUAGUCUGGAUGAGAGAAGAA